AUUGAACGCUGGCGGCAGGCCUAACACAUGCAAGUCGAACGGUAACAGGAAACAGCUUGCUGUUUCGCUGACGAGUGGCGGACGGGUGAGUAAUGUCUGGGAAACUGCCUGAUGGAGGGGGAUAACUAUUGGAAACGGUAGCUAAUACCGCAUAACGUCGCAAGACCAAAGAGGGGGACCUUCGGGCCUCUUGCCAUCGGAUGUGCCCAGAUGGGAUUAGCUAGUAGGUGGGGUAACGGCUCACCUAGGCGACGAUCCCUAGCUGGUCUGGGAGGAUGACCAGCCACACUGGAACUGAGACACGGUCCAGACUCCUACGGGAGGCAGCAGUGGGGAAUAUUGCACAAUGGGCGCAAGCCUGAUGCAGCCAUGCCGCGUGUAUGAAGAAGGCCUUCGGGUUGUAAAGUACUUUCAGCGGGGAUGAAGGGAGUAAAGUUAAUACCUUUGCUCAUUGACGUUACCCGCAGAAGAGGCACCGGCUAACUCCG
rnacentral:rRNA from 1 species